UUCAAAUUUAUUUAUAAAGAAAUAUAUCUAACUAAUUUUAUUAAACAAUAAAAUAAGUAAAUAAUAAGUUUAGAUAUUUAAUUAAAAAACACUGAAAUUGCUCUGCUAGGGCAUCGACCCAGUCUUGAACUGAAGCCAUGGCAGGUCGAGGUCGCCCGCGCAAGCCAAUUUUCCAUGGAUCUGGAGUUCGAACUGCUACUGAUGGAGGAGUUGCUAGGAAACGGAAAGUGAAGGUGAAGAAGAAAGGACCGACGUCAUCUGACUUGGUUCUCAAAACGAAGUCAAUGGCAGAGGUUCAUGGAGUGGAGGUGCUGGAUUUUUUAGAGGAGGAAGACGAAAUGGAGAAAUAGAGGAGUUUGACUGAGCCAGCUAGAACGAUUGAAGAUGUUGCUAAGGUGGUUUCACCUAGAUCGACUCUAACCCUGCUGCUACAGAAGCAAUGAGUUCAGGAAGACUAUGGGAGUUUUUUGGAAGCAACCAAACAAUGUGAACUUCAUGUGAGUACUAGUAAGAAUCAAUCUCCACCUUUCUUCAUUCGAAUCUAGUUCAGAAUUUGAGUGGUAAGUUUGAUGCUAGUAAAAGCCCUAAGAAAAAUCCAGUAGUUAAGAUUGAUAUGGUGGAUGUGGAAGAAGAAAUUUUGUACUGGAUAUCAUGAAUGGUAUAUGUUAUGUGCUCGGGGCUAAUCCCCCCUUGGUCCUUUUGAAGGCUUUGCAAGGAGGAUUUGGAAAGACAAGGGGGUGGAUAAGGUUGGUGUGCUUAAACCAGGGAUGAAACCAUGGGAGCCGUAUCAGGACUAUGACAAGGAAGAUGUUAGCUCGUAUCUGAUUUGGAUUCAGCUACAUGGAUUAGAAUUAAGGUAUUGGGGCGAAAGAUCAUUAUUCAAAGUUGUUUGGACAAUUAGGGUGCCCUCUGAUGUUGGAUGAAGUCAAUAAGAAUAAAGAGUGGCUUAACUUUCCAAGGGUGCUUAUUCAAGUUCAAAUAUGCUACUGAAACUAUCUCAUGCACUAAUGAGAUAUCACAAGAUAUUGAACUCAAGGUGAAAUAUGAAUGGCUUCUCGUGGUGUGUGGUCAUUUUUCAUGAAUGGGACAUACUUCUAGGGUUUGUAGGAAGAAGGAAGUCAAUAAAAAAGUAAAAACUAAGAAGAUAUGGGUUGCUAAAAAGACCACUAAUGUGAUUGGGAAUGAGCAAAAAGGGAAGGAGAUGAUGAAGAAGGGUUUCAAAAGGUGAUUAAAGGUGGCAAAAUUAUUACAACAAUGUCUCUUAUAAUAGUAACAUAAAAUGCUUUCCAAGUUCUUGAAGAGCUAGCCAGGGGAGAAAGAGAUAGAUGGAGACAGCAAAAUGCUUAAGGACAAUACUGAGGAGGGGGGGGGGGGGGUUCCUCCUAUUCCUCAUGGAUAGAAUUCUCAUUUGGAAAGUGAGAGGUCUUAACAACCAAAAUAAACAAUUUAAGGUCAAGAAAUUGAUCUCGAACUAUCAAGUCGGACUGGUGGGGUUGCUUGAAAUAAGAGUAAAGAAUAAAAAUAUGGGUAUGGUGUACAAUAAUAUGUUCAUGGGUUAGUGUUUCUCAACAAAUGGGGCAUGGUAUAUAGGUGAGAGGAUAAUAAUUAGCUGGAACUCAGCUAUGUUUACGGUCAAUAUCUUGCAUUGCACAAGUCAAUUGAUGCAUUUGCAAGUUUGGCCAACAAGACAACGAGAGUACUUUUUUGUUACUUAUGUGUAUGCUUUUAAUGAUGAAGUGGGUAGAGGAAGCUUAUGGCAAGACCUUAAAGGAAUUGGAGAUAACAUGAAAGAGUUGUGGGUGGUGUUGGGCGACUUUAAUGAUAUUCUUCAACCGGAAGAGAGAGUUGGCAGGACAGUGAAGCGAAGCAAGUUGAAAGCGUUUAAAGAAUGUGUUGAAAGUUGCAAAUUGGAAGAUGUUAAAUUUGUGGGCUCUUUCUUCACUUGGACAAAUAAGCAGGGAAUUGCAACAAGAAUUUAUUCCAAGAUUGAUAGAGUCUUGGCAAACUAGGAAUGGCUCUAGAGAUUUGAAAAUACAGAAGUAGUAUUUAUGGCAGAGGGGCAAUUUGAUCAUUUCCCGACAUUGCUAACUGUUCACCCUGAACUAAAGACUGGAGAUAGGCCUUUCAAAUAUUUUUGAAUGUGGCAGAGUCUUUUGGGUAUAAAGAAGGUGUUGAUCGCAUUUGGAAAGAAGACAUUAUCGGGACACCAAUGUUCAAAGUGGUAAGGAAGCUGAAUUGAAAGAGGUGUUUCAAAGUCUCAACAAAGAACAAAUGGGGUAUAUAAAAGCAGCUGAUCUCAGAGCUCAACAGUUUAUGACUAAAUGUCAAGAGGAAUUACAACAACAACCUUUGAAUACUAAACUAUGCCAGAAGGAAAGUGAGACGAGGGGGAAAUACUUAGAUAUCAUCGCUCCUAUCUAACAUUCCUUUCUCAAAAAGCCAAACUCCAUUGGUUGAAAGAAGGAGAUGAUAACACUACUCUUUUUCAUGCAAGUCUACGAGCUAGAAGGGUGAGUAAUUGAAUUUUUCAAUCAAAACCAUGAUUGGAGAGAGGGUUUUUGAUCCUAAGAAGGUUAGUGAUUCUUUUCUUCAUUUCUACAAUGAUUUAUUGGGCUCUACUAUACCUAAUAGGAGGUUAGUGAACUUCAAGUUAGUGAGACAUGGGCCAAUCCUUUCGACUCAAAAACAAGUUUUUUUACUUUAGCAUUUCACCCUUGCUGAUGUUAAAAGUGCCUCGUUUAGUAUUCUAUAUAUGAGGGAAAUCACCGGGACCGGAUGGUUACAGCAAACAUUUUUUUUAAAGAUAAUUGGGAAUUGAUCAAAGAAGAGGUGUGUGAAGCUAUUCUAUCAUUCUUGCAUUCAGGGAAGCUCCUUAAGGAAUUGAAUUUGACUACACUAACUUUGAUACCGAAAGUCAAGUGCCCUGAGAGUCUAAAAAGGGGCUGAGAUAAGGAGAUCCUAUGUUGCCCUUGAUUUUUGUACUAUGUAUGAAGUACCUUUCUCGGAUUCUUGCAAAGGUGGGGCUCAAAAAUGAUUUUAAGUUUCGUGACAGGUGCUCGGAGCUAAAGCUUAAUCACGUAUGAUUCCCUGACAAUGUACUCUUAUUCUGUCAUGGUGACUUUAAGUCGAUUGACUAUCUUUUGCAAGGUCUAAAACUCUUCUCUAUUUCAUAUGGUUUACAAUCGAGUGAUCAAAAAUCUGCAUUGUACUGUUGCGGGAUGGGGGAGUUGGAGGUUCAAAGGGUUAUAGAUGUAUCUGGUUUUACAAGAAGUGUGCUACCAUUCAAUUAUGGUAUCUCCAAUUAGAGUCCCUCUAGGAUGUUAAAUAUAUCUUUUCUUACUACCCCCAUACUGUAUGAGACAAAUGUAUGCGGUCGUUUACCAAUAUCAGUACUUGGCGAUUAUACAAUUCGAACAAUUUUUAAUUCCCCCCAAAUUAAAAAAAGUAAAUCCCUUGAUUAAUGAUUAAAGAAAA